rnacentral:rRNA from 1 species
UGAAGAGUUUGAUCCUGGCUCAGGAUGAACGCUAGCGGCAGGCUUAACACAUGCAAGUCGAGGGGUAUAGUAGCAAUACUAGAGACCGGCGCACGGGUGCGUAACGCGUAUGCAACCUACCUUUUACAGAGGGAUAGCCCAGAGAAAUUUGGAUUAAUACCUCAUGGUAUAAUUGAAUCGCAUGGUUUAAUUAUUAAAGUUCCAACGGUAAAAGAUGGGCAUGCGUCCUAUUAGCUAGAUGGUAAGGUAACGGCUUACCAUGGCUACGAUAGGUAGGGGUCCUGAGAGGGAGAUCCCCCACACUGGUACUGAGACACGGACCAGACUCCUACGGGAGGCAGCAGUGAGGAAUAUUGGACAAUGGGCGCAAGCCUGAUCCAGCCAUGCCGCGUGCAGGAAGACGCAUCUAUGGUGUGUAAACUGCUUUUGUACGGGAAGAAACACUCCCUCGUGAGGGAGCUUGACGGUACCGUAAGAAUAAGGAUCGGCUAACUCCGUGCCAGCAGCCGCGGUAAUACGGAGGAUCCAAGCGUUAUCCGGAAUCAUUGGGUUUAAAGGGUCCGUAGGCGGUUUGGUAAGUCAGUGGUGAAAGCCCAUCGCUUAACGAUGGAACGGCCAUUGAUACUGCCAGACUUGAAUUACUAGGAAGUAACUAGAAUAUGUAGUGUAGCGGUGAAAUGCUUAGAUAUUACAUGGAAUACCAAUUGCGAAGGCAGGUUACUACUAGUGGAUUGACGCUGAUGGACGAAAGCGUGGGUAGCGAACAGGAUUAGAUACCCUGGUAGUCCACGCCGUAAACGAUGGAUACUAGCUGUUCGGGGCAACCUGAGUGGCUAAGCGAAAGUGAUAAGUAUCCCACCUGGGGAGUACGUUCGCAAGAAUGAAACUCAAAGGAAUUGACGGGGGCCCGCACAAGCGGUGGAGCAUGUGGUUUAAUUCGAUGAUACGCGAGGAA